AUAUAUCCAAUAUUUCUCCUUUUGAGAGUUUACCAGCCUGUAAUUUUCUUAAGGAUCCGACGUCUACCUUCUUCCAGUUUGGAGCGUCCAUCCAGCAGCAAGCCACGGUCAUGCUGAAGAUCAUGCAGGAUUAUGACUGGCAUGUUUUCUCCCUGGUAACCACCAUCUUCCCUGGCUACAGGGAAUUCAUCAGCUUCGUCAAGACCACAGUGGACAACAGCUUUGUGGGCUGGGACAUGAAGAAUGUGAUCACACUGGACACUUCCUUUGAGGAUGCAAAGACACAAGUCCAGUUGAAGAAGAUCCACUCUUCUGUCAUCUUGCUCUACUGUUCCAAAGACGAGGCUGUUCUCAUUCUGAGUGAGGCCCGCUCCCUUGGCCUCACCGGGUAUGAUUUCUUCUGGAUUGUCCCCAGCUUGGUCUCUGGGAACACGGAGCUCAUCCCAAAAGAGUUUCCAUCGGGACUCAUUUCUGUCUCCUACGAUGAUUGGGACUACAGCCUGGAGGCGAGAGUGAGGGACGGCAUUGGCAUCCUAACCACCGCUGCGUCUUCUAUGCUGGAGAAGUUCUCCUACAUCCCCGAGGCCAAGGCCAGCUGCUACGGGCAGAUGGAGAGGCCAGAGGUCCCGAUGCACACCUUGCACCCAUUUAUGGUCAAUGUUACAUGGGAUGGCAAAGACUUAUCCUUCACUGAGGAAGGCUACCAGGUGCACCCCAGGCUGGUGGUGAUUGUGCUGAACAAAGACCGGGAAUGGGAAAAGGUGGGCAAGUGGGAGAACCAGACGCUGAGCCUGAGGCACGCCGUGUGGCCCAGGUACAAGUCCUUCUCCGACUGUGAGCCUGAUGACAACCAUCUCAGCAUCGUCACCCUGGAGGAGGCCCCAUUCGUCAUCGUGGAAGACAUAGACCCCCUGACCGAGACGUGUGUGAGGAACACCGUGCCAUGUCGGAAGUUCGUCAAAAUCAACAAUUCAACCAAUGAGGGGAUGAAUGUGAAGAAAUGCUGCAAGGGGUUCUGCAUUGAUAUUCUGAAGAAGCUUUCCAGAACUGUGAAGUUUACUUACGACCUCUACCUGGUGACCAAUGGGAAGCAUGGCAAGAAAGUUAACAAUGUGUGGAAUGGAAUGAUCGGUGAAGUGGUCUAUCAACGGGCAGUCAUGGCGGUUGGCUCGCUCACCAUCAAUGAGGAACGUUCUGAAGUGGUGGACUUCUCUGUGCCCUUUGUGGAAACGGGAAUCAGUGUCAUGGUUUCAAGAAGUAAUGGCACUGUCUCACCUUCUGCUUUUCUAGAACCAUUCAGCGCCUCUGUCUGGGUGAUGAUGUUUGUGAUGCUGCUCAUUGUUUCUGCCAUAGCUGUUUUUGUCUUUGAAUACUUCAGCCCUGUUGGAUACAAUAGAAACUUAGCCAAAGGGAAAGCACCCCAUGGGCCUUCUUUUACAAUUGGAAAAGCUAUAUGGCUUCUUUGGGGCCUGGUGUUCAAUAACUCCGUGCCUGUCCAGAAUCCUAAAGGGACCACCAGCAAGAUCAUGGUAUCCGUAUGGGCCUUCUUCGCUGUCAUAUUCCUGGCUAGCUACACAGCCAAUCUGGCUGCCUUCAUGAUCCAAGAGGAAUUUGUGGACCAAGUGACUGGCCUCAGUGACAAAAAGUUUCAGAGACCUCAUGACUAUUCCCCACCUUUUCGAUUUGGGACAGUGCCUAAUGGAAGCACAGAGAGAAACAUUCGGAAUAACUAUCCCUACAUGCAUCAGUACAUGACCAAAUUUAAUCAGAAGGGAGUAGAGGACGCCUUGGUCAGCCUGAAAACAGGGAAGCUGGACGCUUUCAUCUACGAUGCCGCAGUCUUGAAUUACAAGGCCGGGAGGGAUGAAGGCUGCAAGCUGGUGACCAUCGGGAGUGGGUACAUCUUUGCCACCACCGGUUACGGAAUUGCCCUUCAGAAAGGCUCUCCUUGGAAGAGGCAGAUUGACCUGGCCUUGCUUCAGUUUGUGGGUGAUGGUGAGAUGGAGGAGCUGGAGACCCUGUGGCUCACCGGGAUCUGCCACAACGAGAAGAACGAGGUGAUGAGCAGCCAGCUGGACAUUGACAACAUGGCGGGCGUGUUCUACAUGCUGGCCGCCGCCAUGGCCCUUAGCCUCAUCACCUUCAUCUGGGAGCACCUCUUCUACUGGAAGCUGCGCUUCUGUUUCACGGGCGUGUGCUCCGACCGGCCUGGGUUGCUCUUCUCCAUCAGCAGGGGCAUCUACAGCUGCAUUCAUGGAGUGCACAUUGAAGAAAAGAAGAAGUCUCCAGACUUCAAUCUGACGGGAUCCCAGAGCAACAUGUUAAAACUCCUCCGGUCAGCCAAAAACAUUUCCAACAUGUCCAACAUGAACUCCUCAAGAAUGGACUCACCCAAAAGAGCUGCUGACUUCAUCCAAAGAGGUUCCCUCAUCAUGGACAUGGUUUCAGAUAAGGGGAAUUUGAUGUACUCAGACAACAGGUCCUUUCAGGGGAAAGAGAGCAUUUUUGGAGACAACAUGAACGAACUCCAAACAUUUGUGGCCAACCGGCAGAAGGAUAACCUCAAUAACUAUGUAUUCCAGGGACAACAUCCUCUUACUCUCAAUGAGUCCAACCCUAACACGGUGGAGGUGGCCGUGAGCACAGAAUCCAAAGUGAACUCUAGACCCCGGCAGCUUUGGAAGAAAUCCAUGGAUUCCAUACGCCAGGAUUCACUAUCCCAGAAUCCAGUCUCCCAGAGGGAUGAGGGAACAGCAGAGAAUAGGACCCACUCCCUAAAGAGCCCUAGGUAUCUUCCAGAAGAGAUGGCCCAUUCUGACAUUUCAGAAACGUCAAAUCGGGCCACGUGCCACAGGGAACCUGACAACAGUAAGAACCACAAAACCAAGGACAACUUUAAAAGGUCAGGGGCCUCCAAAUACCCCAAGGACUGUAGUGAGGUCGAGCGCACCUACCUGAAAACCAAAUCAAGCUCCCCCAGAGACAAGAUCUACACUAUUGAUGGUGAGAAGGAGCCUGGUUUCCACUUAGAUCCACCCCAGUUUGUUGAAAACGUGACCCUGCCCGAGAACGUGGACUUCCCAGACCCCUACCAGGAUCACAGUGAAAACUUCCGCAAGGGGGACUCCACGCUGCCAAUGAACCGGAACCCCUUGCAUAAUGAAGAGGGGCCUUCCAACAACGACCAGUAUAAACUCUACUCCAAGCACUUCACCUUGAAAGACAAGGGUUCCCCGCACAGUGAGACCAGCGAGCGAUACCGGCAGAACUCCACACACUGCAGAAGCUGCCUUUCCAACCUGCCCACCUAUUCAGGCCACUUCACCAUGAGGUCCCCCUUCAAGUGCGAUGCCUGCCUGCGGAUGGGGAACCUCUAUGACAUCGAUGAAGACCAGAUGCUUCAGGAGACAGGGAUGACCAACGCUUGGUUAUUGGGAGAUGCCCCUCGGACCCUUACAAACACUCGUUGCCAUCCCAGGCGGUGAAUGACAGCUAUCUUCGGUCGUCCUUGAGGUCAACGGCAUCGUACUGUUCCAGGGACAGUCGGGGCCACAAUGAUGUGUAUAUUUCGGAGCAUGUUAUGCCUUAUGCUGCAAAUAAGAAUAAUAUGUACUCUACCCCCAGGGUUUUAAAUUCCUGCAGCAAUAGACGCGUGUACAAGAAAAUGCCUAGUAUCGAAUCUGAUGUUUAAAAAUCUUCCAUUAAUGUUUUAUCUAUAGGGAAAUAUACGUAAUGGCCAACGUUCUGGAGGGUAAAUGUUGGAUGUCCAAUAGUGCCCUGCUAAGAGGAAGAAGAUGUAGGGAGGUAUUUUGUUGUUGUUGUUGGCUCUUUUGCACAUGGCUUCAUGCCAUAAUCUUCCACUCAAGGAAUCUUGUGAGGUGUGUGCUGAGCAUGGCAGACACCAGAUAGGUGAGUCCUUAACCAAAAAUAACUAACUACAUAAGGGCAAGUCUCCGGGACAUGCCUACUGGGUAUGUUGGCAAUAAUGAUGCGUUGGAUGCCAAUGGUGAUGUUAUGAUUUCCUAUAUUCCAAAUUCCAUUAAGGUCAGUCCACCAUGUAAUUUUCUCAUCAGAAAUGCCUAAUGGUUUCUCUAAUACAGAAUAAGCAAUAUGGUAUGCAUGUAAACCUGACACAGACAAAAUAAAAAGUUAAGAAUGUA
rnacentral:sRNA from 1 species